AGUGUUAAUAAAGUUGUGUCUGUACAGUGAUAAUAAAGUUUUGUGUUUGUACAGUGAUAAUAAAGUUGUGUGUCUGUACAGUGUUAAUAAAGUUUUGUGUCUGUACAGUGAUAAUAAAGUUGUGUGUCUGUACAGUGAUAAUAAAGUUGUGUGUUUGUACAGUGAUAAUAAAG